rfam:Zea mays cultivar B73 chromosome 8, whole genome shotgun sequence.
CCUCUUGAAGAUGAUGAACUGGUGGAGUAUAUCCUCACCGGUCUUGGUGAAGAAUACGACUCUGUGGUGUCAUCUGUCCUUGGCCGAACUGAACCAAUCUCUGUUAGUGAAUUAUAUUCACAAUUACUUGCAUUUGAAA